rnacentral:rRNA from 1 species
GUCUCAUUCGGAUUGGAGUCUGCAACCCGACUCCAUGAAGCUGGAUUCGCUAGUAAUCGCGCAUCAGCCACGGCGCGGUGAAUACGUUCCCGGGCCUUGUACACACCGCCCGUCAAGCCAUGGAAGCCGGGAGUGCCUGAAGUGCGUGAGCGCAAGCAGCGCCCUAAGGUAAAACCGGUGACUGGGGCUAAGUCGUAACAAGGUACC